rnacentral:rRNA from 1 species
UACGAAGGGGGCUAGCGUUGUUCGGAUUUACUGGGCGUAAAGCGCACGUAGGCGGAUUGUUAAGUCAGGGGUGAAAUCCUGGAGCUCAACUCCAGAACUGCCUUUGAUACUGGCAAUCUUGAGUCCGGAAGAGGUGAGUGGAACUCCUAGUGUAGAGGUGGAAUUCGUAGAUAUUAGGAAGAACACCAGUGGCGAAGGCGGCUCACUGGUCCGGUACUGACGCUGAGGCACGAAAGCGUGGGGAGCAAACAGGG